rnacentral:rRNA from 1 species
GACGAACGCUGGCGGCGUGCCUAAUACAUGCAAGUAGAACGCUGAAGGAGGAGCUUGCUUCUCUGGAUGAGUUGCGAACGGGUGAGUAACGCGUAGGUAACCUGCCUGGUAGCGGGGGAUAACUAUUGGAAACGAUAGCUAAUACCGCAUAAUAGUAGAUGUUGCAUGACAUUUACUUAAAAGGUGCAAUUGCAUCACUACCAGAUGGACCUGCGUUGUAUUAGCUAGUUGGUGGGGUAACGGCUCACCAAGGCGACGAUACAUAGCCGACCUGAGAGGGUGAUCGGCCACACUGGGACUGAGACACGGCCCAGACUCCUACGGGAGGCAGCAGUAGGGAAUCUUCGGCAAUGGACGAAAGUCUGACCGAGCAACGCCGCGUGAGUGAAGAAGGUUUUCGGAUCGUAAAGCUCUGUUGUAAGAGAAGAACGAGUGUGAGAGUGGAAAGUUCACACUGUGACGGUAUCUUACCAGAAAGGGACGGCUAACUACGUGCCAGCAGCCGCGGUAAUACGUAGGUCCCGAGCGUUGUCCGGAUUUAUUGGGCGUAAAGCGAGCGCAGGCGGUUAGAUAAAUCUGAAGUUAAAGGGCUGUGGCUUAACCAUAUUACGCUUUGGAAACUGUUUAACUUUAGUGCAACAAGGGAGAGUGGAAUUCCCUGGUGUAGCGGUGGAAUAGCCUAAAAUAUGGAGGGAACCCCCGGGGGGGAAAGGCGGCUCUCUGGCUUGAAACGACCGCUGAGGCUCGAAAAGCGGGGGGGGAAAACAGGAUUAGAUACCCUGGUAGUCCCCGCCCAAAACGAUGAGUGCUAGGUGUUAGACCCUUUCCGGGGUUUAGUGCCGUAGCUAACGAAUUAAGCACUCCGCCUGGGGAGUACGACCGCAAGGUUGAAACUCAAAGGAAUUGACGGGGGCCCGCACAAGCGGUGGAGCAUGUGGUUUAAUUCGAAGCAACGCGAAGAACCUUACCAGGUCUUGACAUCCCUCUGACCGCUCUAGAGAUAGAGCUUUCCUUCGGGACAGAGGUGACAGGUGGUGCAUGGUUGUCGUCAGCUCGUGUCGUGAGAUGUUGGGUUAAGUCCCGCAACGAGCGCAACCCCUAUUGUUAGUUGCCAUCAUUGAGUUGGGCACUCUAGCGAGACUGCCGGUAAUAAACCGGAGGAAGGUGGGGAUGACGUCAAAUCAUCAUGCCCCUUAUGACCUGGGCUACACACGUGCUACAAUGGCUGGUACAACGAGUCGCAAGCCGGUGACGGCAAGCUAAUCUCUUAAAGCCAGUCUCAGUUCGGAUUGUAGGCUGCAACUCGCCUACAUGAAGUCGGAAUCGCUAGUAAUCGCGGAUCAGCACGCCGCGGUGAAUACGUUCCCGGGCCU